GCCAAACAUGUCAAUGUUCCUAUGAUAAGGACAGUGAUUCCGGAUUCUAUGCGAUAAAAUGUGCCCCAAUUGUUUGUAGCACUACCUGCAGUCCUGGCUAUGAAUACAAAAUGAAGAGUGGACAGUGCUGUGGAGAAUGUGUGGCAAAACAAUGUUCUAUGAAGAGUGAUAACAAAACUGAUAUUUACAUUCAGGUUGGACAGACUUACAGUAAUAUUAACAGUAAAUGCAGCUACUAUGAAUGUAAUGAAGAAAAUGGUCAGCCCAUCCUAACCAGAGUGAAGAAGGUUUGCCAGGAGUUAGACAUCA